UACAGAGGGGGCAAGCGUUAUUCGGAAUUAUUGGGCGUAAAGGGCGCGUAGGCGGCUUUUCAAGUGGCGGGUGAAAUCCCUCGGCUUAACCGAGGAACUGCCUGCCAGACUGGAAGGCUUGAGGCCGGGAGAGGUGAGUGGAAUUCCCAGUGUAGCGGUGAAAUGCGUAGAUAUUGGGAGGAACACCAGUGGCGAAGGCGGCUCACUGGACCGGAACUGACGCUGAGGCGCGAAAGCGUGGGGAGCAAACAGG
rnacentral:rRNA from 1 species